rnacentral:misc_RNA from 1 species
GGAUUUCGAGGACACAACACACAACUUACUUGAGUGCCUCGAAAAUAAUUAGCAGUUUCUUCAUCAUGAGUAGCCAUUAGUCCAUCUUGUUGUAACACAGGAAUCGAUGUCCUGUCAUCCCAGACCAACAUUAGAACUCGCACACCUUCAUUAGCUUUUCUCUUAAGCAACUCUCCGAGCGAUAUGUCUCCACCAGGCUUAGGCCU